GAUGAACGCUGGCGGCGUGCCUAAUACAUGCAAGUCGAACGCUGAAGGAAGGAGCUUGCUCUUUCCGGAUGAGUUGCGAACGGGUGAGUAACGCGUAGGUAACCUGCCUGGUAGCGGGGGAUAACUAUUGGAAACGAUAGCUAAUACCGCAUAACAGUAGAUGUUGCAUGAUAUCUACUUAAAAGGUGCAAUUGCACCACUACCAGAUGGACCUGCGUUGUAUUAGCUAGUUGGUGAGGUAACGGCUCACCAAGGCGACGAUACAUAGCCGACCUGAGAGGGGGAUUGGCCAAACUGGGACUUGGACAAGGCCCAGACCCCUACGGGAAGCCGCAGUAGGGAAUCUUCGGCAAUGGACGGAAGUCUGACCGGGGAACGCCGCGGGAGUGAAGAAGGGUUUCGGAUCGUAAAGCUCUGUUGUAAGAGAAGAACGAGUGUGAGAGUGGAAAGUUCACACUGUGACGGUAUCUUACCAGAAAGGGACGGCUAACUACGUG
rnacentral:rRNA from 1 species